ACUCUUUAAUAAUAUGUUCGGUGGUGCGUAGAACGUGGAAGGCAUAUCAGUCUGACAAGAGAAGCUUGAUUUUGAAAACCUCCUAAGAUUGUGGAAUUUGUAGCAUUUGGAGGCAUGUGUUUCCUCAUGGGAUUUGAGGAACUAUAGCAGCAUGGACCAGACAACUAUAUACACUUUCUUAA